rnacentral:rRNA from 1 species
CGGGUGAGUAACGCGUGGGUAACCUGCCUUAUACAGGGGGAUAACAGUUGGAAACGGCUGCUAAUACCGCAUAAGCGCACGGCAUCGCAUGAUGCAGUGUGAAAAACUCCGGUGGUAUAAGAUGGACCCGCGUUGGACUAGCUAGUUGGUGAGGUAACGGCCCACCAAGGCGACGAUCCAUAGCCGACCUGAGAGGGUGACCGGCCACAUUGGGACUGAGACACGGCCCAA